rnacentral:tRNA from 1 species
UAUCUGGUGCAGCCCGUGGGCUUCAAAACCUACGAUG